UACGUAGGGUGCGAGCGUUGUCCGGAAUUAUUGGGCGUAAAGAGCUUGUAGGCGGUUUGUCGCGUCUGCUGUGAAAAUCCGGGGCUCAACCCCGGACUUGCAGUGGGUACGGGCAGACUAGAGUGUGGUAGGGGAGACUGGAAUUCCUGGUGUAGCGGUGAAAUGCGCAGAUAUCAGGAGGAACACCGAUGGCGAAGGCAGGUCUCUGGGCCAUAACUGACGCUGAGGCGCGAAAGCUAGGGGAGCAAACGGG
rnacentral:rRNA from 1 species